rnacentral:rRNA from 1 species
AUUGAACGCUGGCGGCAGGCCUAACACAUGCAAGUCGAACGAGUGGCGGACGGGUGAUUAAUGUCUGGGAAACUGCCUGAUGGAGGGGGAUAACUACUGGAAACGGUAGCUAAUACCGCAUACCAUCAGAUGUGCCCAGAUGGGAUUAGCGUGGUGGUGGGGUAACGGAGCACCAAGGCGAAGAUCCCUAGCUGGUCUGAUAGGAUGACCACACACACGGGAACUGAGACACGGUCCAGACUCCCACGGGAGCCAGCAGUGGGGAAUAUUCCACAAUGGGCGCAAGCCUGAUGCAGCCAUGCCGCGUGUAGGAAGAAGGCCUUCGGGUUGUAAAGUACUUUCAGCUGGGAGGCGUUACCCGCAGAAGAAGCACCGGCUAACUCCGUGCCAGCAGCCGCGGUAAUAC